GACGAACGCUGGCGGCGUGCCUAAUACAUGCAAGUUGAGCGCUGAAGGUUGGUCCUUGUACCAACUGGAUGAGCAGCGAACGGGUGAGUAACGCGUGGGGAAUCUGCCUUUGAGCGGGGGACAACAUUUGGAAACGAAUGCUAAUACCGCAUAAAAACUUUAAACACAAGUUUUAAGUUUGAAAGAUGCAAUUGCAUCACUCAAAGAUGAUCCCGCGUUGUAUUAGCUAGUUGGUGAGGUAAAGGCUCACCAAGGCGAUGAUACAUAGCCGACCUGAGAGGGGGAUCGGCCACAUUGGGACUGAGACACGGCCCAAACUCCUACGGGAGGCAGCAGUAGGGAAUCUUCGGAAAUGGACGAAAGUCUGACCGAGCAACGCCGCGUGAGUGAAGAAGGUUUUCGGAUCGUAAAACUCUGUUGGUAGAGAAGAACGUUGGUGAGAGUGGAAAGCUCAUCAAGUGACGGUAACUACCCAGAAAGGGACGGCUAACUACG
rnacentral:rRNA from 1 species